ensembl:lncRNA
GUUAGAGUCUGCUGGAAGAAAGAAAGUUGCUUUAAACUGCUACAAGGGAAAGAAUUGAUGUCAUACCCCCAGUGGAGCACAUCCAUACAUCAAGGGGAGGAUACCGCAGCCUACGGGAUGUCGUCUUCCUGCAGCCUCCUCCCUGCUUCCCUGGGGAGGUGAAGUGCCAUGCAAGUGAAGAAGACUUAAGAAAAGGGGCCCCUGGAUGCACCACAGCUAACCUGAUGAACAAGCCAUUCAGAUCUGGACUGCCAUCUACUCCCAAAGUAGACAGCAAGUUGACUGAUUCUGUGUGGGAUAAAAUGGAUGGGAUCAGCUGGGCACUGGGAGGGAACCAGCUCUGUGGCUAACCAGUUCUCCGUGGAGUGACAGAACCCAGCCACAGCUCUGACGCUUCAGGUGGAGAUACCCACUGCUUCCCUGAAAGAAGCAUCAGAUGGAGAAGUAAAGAAAGGACUUCUCACAGUUGCUGGGCUCUAUCAGCAUUAACCAGCAGGAUGAUGAGGUUUUCUAUUGCCCUGUGCCAGAUGGCAGCGUUCUGAUCGCAAGUCUGUGCUCUGUGGUUAUGGCAGGACUUCAUCUUCAAAUAACUGCUUGGUGUUUGAAAUUGAGGCACAGCCCACUUAUUUGGAUAUUUCAAGAUGCAAGUUUCAGCAGAACCCAUAAGCAGCAAUUGGGUUUGAGCAAUGAGGAAAGCUUUCCCCAG